rnacentral:rRNA from 1 species
UACGGGGGAGCAAGCGUUGUUCGGAUUUACUGGGCGUAAAGAGCGCGCAGGCGGUCGUUCAAGUCGAGUGUGAAAGCCCCCGGCUCAACUGGGGAGGUCACUCGAUACUGAUCGACUGGAAGGCAGGAGAGGGAAGCGGAAUUCCCGGUGUAGUGGUGAAAUGCGUAGAUAUCGGGAGGAACACCAGUGGCGAAGGCGGCUUCCUGGCCUGUUCUUGACGCUGAGGCGCGAAAGCUAGGGAGCAAACGGG